rnacentral:lncRNA from 1 species
AAGAAAGAAGGAAAGAAAGAAAGAAAGAAAAAAGAGAGGGAAAGAAAGAAACGAAGAAAGAAAGAAAGACAGACAAGAAAGAGAGAGAAAGAAAAGAAAGACAUUCAAGUGCCCAUGCUGGUGGUGCCAGAGUGCAGCAUGGCUAAGAUGGGGCAUGUGAGAUGGAGAGAUGGAAAAAAUGGAGUGUGCAGUGAGAGAUGAGAGAGAAUGGGAAGGUGAGGGGUUAGUACACUGUGAAGAAAGCUGAUCUAAGUGGCCUACCAUGACACCAGAGGCCAUGAUGACACUCAGCCCCAUUCCUUGCUGCCAGGGAACAUGUCUGGGUCUGUGAUCCUAUUGCAGCUGGUGUCUGUGUUGAUGUCUCAGACCCACAUUACCACCAAAGGCCAUGUAGAUGUCCCUGGUCUGGACUGCUUCCUGAGGAACUAUGCUGAGCUGGCCCCACCCGUCACCAGCCACCACACUAGGGAGAACUGGCCUGGCUCUUCAUUUCCAGUGGGGUGGCCUGAGUGAGUGAAAGAUGCUCCCCACCCCCACUCCCUGCCCCACUUCUCAACUCUCCACCUAUGGUUGGUAGAAGGCUGACCCAGAGGUCAUGAGAGCAGAAGAGCUGGCCACACCCUUCACUGGCUGCAUCAUUCAGGAGAGUAACCCAGUAGAGAUGACCAUAAUGGCAGUGGUGCAGAUGAGCUGGCCUUGAGAGCAUGAGAACAGGAGGGCUGACUACCCUUGCCAUCUAAAGCAUUGGGUAAGCUAGCCUGGAUAGUGCUGGAGAGCUCACCCUAGUGGUGAUGGAGCAGGAGAACUGUCAGGCUGAGAAACUCAGCUACCAUCCAGGCCCAGAUCCAGGGCUUUGAAUUGGCUUACCCCAAUAUCUACCCCAUCUAUGAUCUGCUGGAGCAUGUGAAGGGGAAGAUGAAGUAGCUGUUUUGAACCCUGACCAACAGAUGGCGCUGAUUCCCAUACACUACAAACACAACACUCAGAUCCUGGAAGCUAAAAUGCCUGACCACAAACUAAGGAAACUUAAUUCAGGUUGGCAUUGAAUUUUAGCAGUCUGGGGGCAGUGUCAGGCAGAUCUCUGUGAGCUGGGAUAACCUUUUCACCACAGAGCAAGACCAGCCAUAGCUAAAUAGAUAGUGAGAGCCUGUCUAAAACCAAAACAAAUCUUAAUUUUUCUCUCUCCAAUAUCCUUAGGCUCCUCUGAUUUAGAGACCUUUGCCCCUGGCUCAUUCUAAAUUCUUACUGGUUGGCUCACAACCAUCUGUAACAAGAUCUGACUUCGUCUUCUGGAGUGU